CAAACAUUGGUUGCCAACACUGAAGAACUUCAGGAAGCUCGCCAAGGUCUGAUCAAGGUAAUGCUGUCAGAAAAAGCAACCAGAAAUACAGUGAUUGGAGUAAAUAAGAGACCACACAGCUCACCAUCACUGAAACCACCAUGAACGUGAGCUAGCUGAAUAUUUCUUCACCAACUUAUUACACCAACAGAUCGAGUUGAAUAAUUACCACCACCAACACUUAUUUGAGAUCUGAUUUCAAACCACCACCACCAUCUCAAUUUCUUAAUCCAUCAAAGGUUCAUUGCAAAGGUUCAUGUUGAAGAACGCUGUAUCAUGGUUUUUGGUGUGGCUGGUUAAAUUUUCUGUUGCUUAUGAGGUGGGUUUAACUUGGAUUUGAAUUUUCAGUUGAAUAAGAGAAGAUUUGGCUCAAUGUAGAGAAGACCAAUGAAGAAAUUAGGGGUUGAUCCUGUUAAUAUAAAGCAGGUGUUGGUUGUGGCAUUGCAUUGUUUGUUGAAACUGAAUUUGGUAAUGAAGGUGAUGGUAGUGAUUGGUUGAAUUUGGUGGGCUGAGAUGGAAAUGAAAGUUGGGUUGGUUGCUGCUGGUGAUAUGGGUUUAGAGUGGAAUGAAUUAGUUCUGUAGCAAUUGUGGUUUCAUGUGGGAGUUGGAUGUAUGUUAUUGAUGGCUGUCUGAGAUGGCAGUGAAGCUGAUGUUGUGUUACUGCCAUCUGAUGAUAAGCAACAGUGAAAGCAAAUGGUGGAGCAGCAGGUUAUAAAUUGAUGUUAAGACCGCAGAGAAGAUGGACCUGUUGUGCAGCUGAAAUGGAUAGAAGUCAUAGAUGAACCUAAUGGUUGUGCCAUGGAAGCUACAGGGAUGAAUUCUGGUAUGAUGCUGCUGAUACUCAGAUGAGCAGAUUCAUUAGAUGUAUGUUUUGGGUUGAAGGGCAUUGCAGGUGGAUGGAUGUUGAGCAUAUGGCUGUGUUGGUGUGGAUUAAAGUGAUGGAACUUAUGUUGUUCUGGUAAUUUUAUGGUGGAAUGCAAUUGCAGAAAAGGAGUUUGGCAUAAGAGGAGGAGCUGAUUGAACUGAAUAGAUGAAUGCUAGGAUUGGCAGGAACUGAUAGACAAAGAAGUGAUGUUGCAGAAAAUGGAGAAAGAGAAGAUGGAAAAUAUGGAGGUGUUGAUACUGUUGCUGGUGGUUCUAAGCUGAAGCUGCAGAUGGUUUGCAGGUGGAGUUGUGAUGAUGUUCAUGGGUCGGAAGUGCUAAGUCUAGAAGAUUGCAGGGAGAAAUUGGUUGUGUUAAAGUAGGUUGAGCCGCAGUUGCAUGAGCUGAGCGUAGGAAGAUGAAUUGCAGGGAGCAAUGAGUGAUGCAGAUGUUCAUUAUAUGUUGAUGUUGCAGGCAAUCUGAGACGGAGAAUACAAAUUGUGAUGUUUGAUCUUGUUACUGUGAUUGUGAUGUUUGAUCUUAGU